AUUCUUCUAGUAUUAAUUAAUACAAUUGACUUCCAAUCACUUAAUCUUGGUUAAAACCCAAGGAAGAAUA
rnacentral:tRNA from 1 species